GGGGGCGGAUGGAGGACUGGUGUCCCCUGCGGUCUUCAAAACCGUCACGACGGCCGUGCAGGCCGUUGGCUGGGUUCGAUUCCCAGACGCUCCCGCCA
rnacentral:tRNA from 1 species